GAGACCCACGCCAACAGUUGCCAGCAUGUCCUCCGGGAUGGUGGGGACACUGUUGGGACCGCCUCUGCUAAAGAGGAGGAAGGAAUGGGCAACGGUAGGUCAGCAUGCCCCGAAUUAUCCGGGCUACACGCGGGCUACAAUGGUCAGGACAAUGGGUAUCGACACCGAGAGGUGAAGGCAAUCUCUUAAACCUGUCCUUAGCUCGGAUUGUGGGCUGCAACUCGCCCACAUGAAGCUGGAAUCCGUAGUAAUCGCGUCUCAAAAUGGCGCGGUGAAUAU
rnacentral:rRNA from 1 species